GGCAGUGGUAGCUCAGUGGUUAUGGUGUUGGACUACAGGUUAGAAGGUUGUAAGUUCAAAUUACAGCACUGCCA